UACGUAGGGGGCGAGCGUUGUCCGGAUUUAUUGGGCGUAAAGAGCUCGUAGGCGGUUUGGUAAGUCGGGUGUGAAAUCCCUCAGCUCAACUGAGGAAGUGCGCCCGAAACUGCUUAGCUUGAGUGCCGGAGAGGAUGGCGGAAUUCCCCAAGUAGAGGUGAAAUUCGUAGAUAUGGGGAGGAACACCGGUGGCGAAGGCGGCCAUCUGGACGGUAACUGACGCUGAGACGCGAAAGCGUGGGUAGCAAACAGG
rnacentral:rRNA from 1 species